GGGCGUGGUAUAUACGAUAAGAAAAUUGCAUGGACUGUGAUUCCUGCAAAAUAAACUUAUGCACAUAUUUAUGUGGGUUCACCAAGAUAUACUGGAAUACGCGAUUUCAAAGGAAACAUUUACCUACUACUCAUAUUCAAUGACGAUGCCGAUCAUAUCAAUAGAUAAAUAAAAACUCAGUAAAGAAAUAUACUGCAAUAAAUGAUAAAUAUUUGAAGGAUACUUAAAAGUAGUCGGAUAUUAAAGAUCCCAGGAAUGCCAUCAAUUCAAACUAGAUAUUGAGUUGUUAUAAAACAUUGGAUUCAUAUAAAAGGAACAUCAGGCAGCUGUGAAUAAACUGUUAACGCAUAAAGUGGUUCGGAUCGCCCUUUUGAAGGAGCGAUAGUGGAGAUGAUUUUAAUUCUUAGUUUGCUGCUUUUAGCAACUUUGGGAGAUAAUCAUGACUACUGGUUGCACUCAAGAACAGGCUCUCAGACAUUGGCAGCCAAUAUUUGGUCUGACAAGACGGCUGUUCAAAAUGAACCGAUUAACUUGACUGAUGCAAAUGUGACAAUAAAGGAUGCAAAAAACCUUAGUACCACCAUCACAAAUGUAGCUAGGUUUGAUACGAAAUUAAAUCACCUUUUAGUGGACACUAUUACCGGGCGAGUCUUUGUUGGUGGUGUCAACAGGUUGUAUCAAUUGUCGCCUGACUUGGAGCUUUCCGAAACGGUAAAAACGGGACCACAAAACGAUUCGGUAGAAUGCAGCAUACUCGACUGUCCCUUAAAUGCUGUUCGCAGUCCAACGGAUAACUAUAAUAAGGUCUUGCUUAUAGACCGUGCGACUUCUCGACUAAUUGCGUGUGGUUCACUAUUCCAGGGUACAUGCACUGUACGAAAUCUUCAGAAUGUCAGCAUAAUUGAGCAUGAAGUGCCCGACGCAGUCGUUGCGAACGAUGCCAAUUCUUCAACAGUGGCAUUUAUAGCUCCAGGACCUCCGCAGCACCCAGUGACAAAUGUUAUGUACGUUGGAGUUACCUAUACGAACAAUUCACCAUACCGAAGUGAAAUUCCGGCCGUUGCAUCACGCUCUCUUGAAAAGACGAAAAUGUUUCAGAUUGCAUCUUCGGCGGUUACAACUGGAACGAGAACUUUUAUUAAUUCUUACGCACGUGAAACUUAUUUUGUGAACUAUGUUUACGGAUUUAGCUCAGAACGGUUUUCAUACUUUCUUACUACACAGUUAAAGCAUAGUCACCAUUCUUCGCCCAAGGAGUACAUAACUAAGCUUGUGCGAAUAUGCCAAGAAGAUUCAAACUAUUAUUCCUACACUGAAAUUCCAGUCGAAUGCAUAAGUGAUGCCCAGGGCGGCACAAAAUUCAACUUGGUUCAGGCAGGUUACCUAGGCAAACCCAGCUCGGAUCUGGCUCAAAGCUUGGGUAUAUCAAUUCAGGAUGAUGUCCUCUUUGCUGUUUUUUCAAAGGGCGACGGAAACACACCAACCAAUAACUCUGCACUCUGCAUUUACUCUCUAAAAUCCAUACGUCGAAAAUUUAUGCAAAACAUAAAAUCCUGUUUCAACGGUAAUGGGAUGAGGGGACUGGACUUUAUAUCACCCAGCAUGCCAUGUGUUUUAACUAAACUGCAAACUAUUGGAGAAGAUUUCUGUGGUCUUGACGUAAAUUCGCCUUUGGGAGGAGAGAAUCCCAUUACUUCAGUGCCGGUGGCCAUGUUUAACACAAAGUUAACUUCAGUUGCUGCCACGAGCACAAGCGGAUAUACCGUUGUCUUUGUGGGCACCGCAGAUGGGUACCUUAAGAAAGUUGUCGUCGAAUCUUCAUCCGUUGCCAACGAGUACGCUAGUUUUUCUGUGGACCUGGGUUCGGCCAUAAAUCAGGAUAUGCAGUUUGACAACCAAAAUCUUUAUAUGUAUGUCAUGUCAGAAACUAAAGUGUCUAAAGUCAAGGUUUUUGACUGCUCCGAUUUCAAGACAUGUGGAGAGUGCUUGGGGGCUAGAGAUCCAUAUUGUGGCUGGUGCUCGUUGGAAAACAAAUGUAGCCCACGUUCCAACUGUCAAGAUGACGCCAACGACCCUCUUUAUUGGGUCAGCUAUAAAACUGGAAAGUGCACUACAAUAACAAGUGUUGUGCCACACCAACUGCAACGCACAACUGCUCGAACCUUAGAACUUAUCAUAGAUCACUUGCCGCAACUAAAAGAGAACUUGAUAUGUGCUUUUACCACAGAGGAUAAGGCUCUCUUCACCAAUGCUACGAAAAAAAGAAAUGGCGUGAAUUGUACAACACCGCGAACAGAUAUGCUGCCCCAAAUUGAACAAGGAAAGCAUCAUUUUACAGCAAAACUAUCUGUCCGCACCAGAAAUGGACCCGACCUAGUGUCUACGGAUUUUACGUUCUUUGAUUGCAGUACACAUUCAUCUUGUACACGGUGUGUGUCCUCGGAGUUUCCAUGUGACUGGUGUGUUGAGGCACACCGAUGCACUCACGACACUGCUGAGAAUUGCCGCAAUGAUAUUUUGGUCACCGGUGUAAGCCGGAUAGGCCCAAGUUAUAGAUCGGGUCCCGGGUUUUGCCCAACGAUCAACGCUACGGGUGAUGGAAGUGAAGUACUUGUGGCUGGUGGCACAAGCAAAUCUAUAAAAGUAAAAGUUCAUAUAAUAGGACAGUUUAUAGUUCAAACGCGAUUUGUUUGUCAAUUUAAUAUAGAGGGACGGGUAACGAGUUUAAAUGCCCAAUUGUUGGGCGACACAAUAUACUGCGAUAGCAUGGAAUUCCAGUACACUUCAAGAUCGCCCAAUUUGACAGCUACUUUCGCUGUUAUAUGGGGCGGAUCCAAGCCCCUUGAUAAUCCCCAUAACAUUCAUGUUGUUAUCUAUCGAUGUCGAGAAAUGGCCGACAGUUGUGGUAUUUGUUUAGCCCUAGCCGAAAAGUACAAUUGCGGAUGGUGUUCGUCUACUAAUACAUGCGAGGUUGAAGAACAAUGUAAUAAGAACAAAGAGGGAAAAACCGACUGGCUAAAUCGAAGUGAAAUUUGCCCCAACCCUGAGAUUCAUACUUUUGAACCUAAAACGGGGCCCUGGGAAGGAGGAACAAACAUAACAAUACGUGGAAUUAAUUUAGGCAAAAAUUAUAAUGACAUUUACUCAGGCGUGCGAAUAGCUGGCAUAAAUUGUAUGCCGUUUCAGCAAUUUUACAUCGACACAAAGCAAAUAGUUUGUACGGUGGACAGUCCUGGAGAACAGAUGUAUAGGAAUGGCAAAAUAGUCGUACAAAUAGGGGACUAUCGCGGUGAGUCCAAGGAGGACUAUGAGUUCGUUGACCCCAAAAUUCUUGAUUUUAAUCCAAAGUUUGGACCAACUUCGGGUGGAACUGAAAUACAUAUAACAGGAAAGCAUUUAAAUGCCGGUUCUCGCAUACAAGCGUCCAUAAAUGAUCAUUUGCCUUGCAAAAUCCUAAGCACAGAUUCUUCGCAAGCUAUAUGUCGAACGUCCCCAUCACCUGGUAUCAUCGAAGGUCGGCUCAAAAUGUCAUUUGAUAAUGGUCCACGUGAAUUCAAUGACUACAAUUUUAAAUAUGUUCUGGAUCCUACAGUGGAACACGUCAGUUCAGGGCCAAGUGGUCAAAUAAAAGUACCAAAAGGAAUCCCAGCUGGCGGCAUUCGAAUUUCCGUGAUUGGUACCCAAUUUACCAGUAUACAAACUCCCAACAUUUAUGUAGUAUAUAAUGGGGAGAUAUAUGCCAACCAAUGCCGAGUCCAGUCGGAUACAGAAAUGGAAUGCGCAUCUCCAGUUAUCGACGUAGACAACAAAAUUAUUGAAGCGGAGAGGCCAAUGCUUCUUGAAUACGGUUUUCUAAUGGACAAUGUUUUGCGUGUGCAAAAUUUAUCAAAAACUCAUAACAACCAUUUUGAACUUUAUCCAAAUCCCGAGUAUUUUGUAUUCGAGGAAAGAGUCAAGUACUUUAAAAGCGAGUAUUUAACUAUAAAUGGUCGGAAUUUAGAUCGCGCUUGCAAAGAGUCUGAUGUGGAAGUAAAAAUAGGAAAUGGAUAUUGCAAUAUUACUUCUCUUUCAAGACAACAGCUUACAUGUAGGCCUCCUCCUGAAGCAACGGCAACUAAAAGCAUAAAUGGACCGGAGGUUAUAGUUCGUAUUGGUACUUCGCUGGAGUAUCGUAUUGGUAUACUUAGCUAUGAAUCAUCAAACAUCAUUUUGGAUUGGGGAGAAAAUGUUAUCUUUGCUGUAAUAGCAACAAUUGUCAUUUUACUGCUCAUUUUUGUUGCUCUGCUUGUGGCGUAUAAAAAGAAAAGUUCCGAAUCGAGCCGGGUACUUAGAAACAUGCAGGAGCAGAUGGACAUAUUAGAGCUCCGUGUUGCAGCUGAAUGUAAAGAAGCAUUUGCUGAACUCCAAACAGAGAUGACUGACCUCACAGGAGAUCUUACUUCUGGAGGCAUUCCAUUUUUGGAUUAUCGAUCAUAUGCAAUGAAGAUUCUUUUUCCCAAUCAUGAAGAUCACAUUGUGCUACAAUGGGAACGACCUGAGCUUCUCCGAAAAGAAAAAGGGUUGCGUAUUUUUGGUCAACUUAUUAUGAACAAAACUUUUCUACUUCUUUUUAUUCGAACCUUAGAAUCGAAUCGAUACUUUUCUAUGCGAGAACGAGUAAACGUGGCCUCACUAAUUAUGGUCACACUACAAUCGAAAUUAGAAUACUGCACAGAUAUAUUGAAAACAUUAUUGGGAGACUUGAUUGAAAAAUGUAUAGAAGGAAAGAGUCAUCCAAAACUUUUAUUACGACGAACAGAAAGUGUGGCAGAAAAAAUGUUGAGUGCUUGGUUUACAUUCCUUCUAUACAAGUUUUUGAAAGAGUGUGCUGGAGAGCCAUUGUAUAUGCUUUUCCGCGCAGUCAAAGGACAAGUAGAUAAGGGUCCAGUUGACGCAUGCACGCACGAGGCAAGAUACUCUCUUAGUGAAGAAAAACUUAUACGACAGUCCAUUGAUUUUCGACCCAUGAACGUCUAUGCAAGCAUUAUACAGCAGCCAAUAUUUUGCAAUAAUUUGGAUAUGUUGCCCUCUCACACCGAAAACGUGUCCGUAAAAGUUUUGGACUGCGAUACAAUCGGACAAGUUAAAGAAAAAUGUUUGGAAACAAUUUAUAAAAACAUUCCAUCAAGCCAAAGACCUCGUAAGGAUGACUUAGAUUUAGAGUGGCGUACAGGUGCUACUGGUCGUGUAAUUUUGUACGACGAGGACGUUACAUCUAAAACGGAGAGCGAAUGGAAGAAACUAAACACUUUGCAGCACUAUAAUGUUCCGGACGGCGCUGGUUUAAGCUUAGUACCAAAGCAAAGUUCAAUUUAUAACUUUAGUAUAUUGUCGGAUAAAAAUGAAAAAUCUCACAAGUAUGAAACUCUUAAUAUAUCGAAAUACACCUCCUCCUCUCCGACAUUUAGCCGCGCCGGCAGCCCUCUUAAUAAUGAUAUGCAUGAUAACGGCCUAAGAUACUGGCAUCUAGUGAAACACCAUGAUAGUGAUAUGCAGAAAGAAGGGGAACGGGUUAACAAAUUGGUAUCUGAGAUUUACUUAACCAGACUAUUGGCUACUAAAGGCACGCUUCAGAAAUUCGUGGAUGAUCUCUUUGAAACAAUAUUUAGCACCGCUCAUCGUGGAUCGGCACUGCCCUUAGCAAUCAAAUACAUGUUUGACUUUCUAGACGAUCAAGCUCAGUUGCAUGGGAUAACUGAUCCAGAAGUCGUGCAUACUUGGAAGAGUAAUAGCUUACCAUUGCGGUUUUGGGUGAACUUAAUAAAAAAUCCAAAUUUCGUCUUCGACAUACAUAAGUCGAAUAUAGUGGACUCAUGCUUGUCAGUUGUUGCUCAAACAUUUAUGGACUCUUGUUCAACUUCUGAUCAUCGGUUGGGCAAGGACUCACCAAGCUCGAAACUGCUAUACGCAAAAGAUAUACCAGAGUAUCGCAAAUGGGUAGAUCGCUAUUAUAGAGACAUUCGCGAUAUGUCCCCAAUAUCAGAUCAAGACAUGAAUGCCAUGCUUGCAGAAGAAUCAAGGCUACACACAACAGAAUUUAACACAAAUUGUGCUCUACAUGAGCUAUACACAUAUGCUGUGAAGUACAAUGAGCAGCUAACUGUUACACUAGAAGAGGAUGAGUUUUCGCAAAAGCAGCGAUUGGCUUUUAAAUUAGAGCAGGUUCACAACAUAAUGUCGGCAGAAUAAGAACAAAAUACAAAAAGUGAGCUUACUUUUAAAAGCUUCUAGUUGAUAAAACCAUCAUUCAUUAAACAGGAAUGUCUUCAUAUACCAGCCACCGAAAUGUAUUUAUUUCGAAUGUAAACAUUCUUGCUUAAACCUAUGCAAUUUAUAAAAAUCAUUUGUAAAUGUCGUAUUUGCUCAUUUAAAGCUUAACAUAAAUGGUAUUGUAUGUAUGUAUGUAUUUGAUAUAAGUAAAUUUAUGUAAGAUUAAACAUUCAAGAUAAAGUAAACUAACUGAGAAAUCGACUGACUUUAAUUUUAACUAAAAAUAAAGUUAAUGAAUUAUAUUAUGUAGUUUCGUACCUAUGUUGAAGAUUAAGAGUAUUCAUGUAUUGGUUUUUUUUAUCUGCAGUUCAAGGUACUAAGUCACAUUCCUAAUAGCACGGCAAUUUUUUUCAUUUCUGCGACUAGAAUGUCACGAAAAAUGCAUGUGAAAGUCAAGAAAGCUAAAAAAUUAUAUGUGCAGUAACGAAAACGCAAUGUUGGUCUUCUCUUAUGUAAGUUCAAAUGAUAUUGUAAACUAACACAAAAUAUACACACAAACGUCUCGAAUACUAUCUUUAUUGAUCAUUGUAAAUUGCUUUGAAGUUCUUUUUGUUUUGUGAUAUUUUAACAGAAAUAAUAGAAAACAUUUACUGAUUGAUAUGUGUUUUGUUGUAAAUGAUUUCUCAAAACCGCAAAAUAUGAUCAAAGUUAAACUAAUGUUAAUCUGAGAGGGUUUAUAAAAUAGUUUGAAAAACUUUCAAAGACGAAACGCAAUACAGAAGAAUGGACAGAAUAAUUGUUUGACCCGACUAUUAGAUACCCGGGCUCUCUUUCAUUUAUCACAGUUAUAUAUAUGAAUGACGCUUGUGUGGUAUUCACUUUAUAUAUGUUAACUUUAAAGAAAUGUAAUUUAAAAUUAUAUGAUUUGAGCAUAUUUUAUUUGAACACAAACCGGUUCUCAUAAAACAAAUUGUAGCACUGUUAAUUUAACCGAUGAUAUUCCAAAACGAAAUUGAAAUUAAGGAUCGUGUUCAAAAAAGUUUCUAUAGAAAUAAAAAAAUUAAAAUGGUACGUGAUCAUAAACCUAUCAAACAACAUUUAACCCAAAUUCAAAUUUUUUGAGGUUUAUUUUAUUGAUCGUAAUUAUAUAGUUAAUUUAAUUAUUUUAUUUGAAUUUGUAAUAUUCAACAUUUUGUUUUAUGUGCAUUAUUGUUUUAUGCUUUAUAUCUAAGUAUAAUUUAUAAAGGAAAGCCUUUCUUAAUUUUUGUACAUUUCUUAUUCAUUGUACUAAUGUAUAAAACUAUCAAUAAAAAUCAAAUUGUAUUGUAACAUUUAUUUAGUUCUAACAUGAUUUCAUUAUUUUUUAAACUUUGAGAAAGUCGAUAGAUAAAAGGUAAAUAGUUGAAAUUUUUUGAUUCAACAUUUCAUCUGGUCAAUUUAUCGCUAUUAUAAAAAGUUACUUAUGAUAUUAAGGGAAUAAAAUUGUAGUACGUAAAUGUUUUAGACUAUAUAUUUCGUGUAUUUGUGUAUGUAUGUAUAAAUGAAGAUUAUGACAUUAAUGAAUGAAUAAUAAUCAUAGUUUAAUAGUGUAUGCAUUGUACAUAUAUACUGAAAUGCGCAAUAGCUAUGAAGGUUCGAGAUAAUACGAUACUAAAUUCACAAUUCACCACGACUUACAUGACUGGCAGCCGCUAAUUCAAAAAUAAAAUAAUCUGAUAUGCACAAAAAAAUCCCACCAAAUCGAUAUCCCAAUAAAGAGAUGUAUAAUCAAUUGAAAUAUAA